GGGCUAGCUUCGGCAACUCAUAUACUAAAAUUGGAAUGAUACAGAGAAGAUUAGCAUAGCCCCUGUGCAAGAAUGACACGCAAACUCAUGAAGCAUUCCAUAUUUAA
rnacentral:snRNA from 1 species